AAAUGGGGGGUGAACUAUCCCUUUAAUUUGUAGCCACAAUAUAUAGUCUUUUCUUUAUGCAAAAAAUAAUUUUUUGAAUUUUGGAUGAAAUAUGAUCACUCUUGAAUACUCUGUGAUGAAAUCAGACACUUUAGCUGUUGUGAUAGGCAUGUGGUUAGGGUUUUUUCCCCAUCAGAUGUCACAGAUCUCUCUUCCCCUUCUUUUAUCAGUGUCUCCCUGCACUUUUUCUUUCGUGAACCCCGUUUCUAAACCCGCGUGAGUCUCUUGUGACCCGCUCAGGGAUGCACAAAAACAAGCAGCAGUAUAUUCUGAGAUGAUAAGUGUGUGUGUGUGUGUGUGUGUGUGUGUAUAAGCAGACACGACUCAUCUGACCUGUUGUUUUGAACCUGCUUGUAGUGCACUACCCAGCCACGGUUCAGCCGAACCACUGCUGUAUAGAGGCUCUGAAGAGCUGACCGUCAUGUAAAUACAUAGUACGUUUGAGAUGAUAAAUGUUUAAGCCUUUAGAUUGUAUUUGUAUUUUUGUAUAGAACUGAGGAACCAGACUUUGGGUGUGAGAUGAGAUGAGAUGAGAUGAGAGACGUGACUCUGCACUGCCUUUACUGUCACCUGUGCAUCUCUUAUGCAGUAUGUAGUUCUCCACAGAUCCUUGUGUUUCAGACUCAAGAAGGACAGGAAUCCUCUUACAUCUCAUGAUAGUCAUUUCAUUUCAGCAUGGACUAGACGUGGAGAAUUUGAAUCGGAUAGAUAUUACAGAGCGAGCCUUUUCCGAUCCUGUGCCAAAUUAAACAGUGGACUGACAGUGAUGCUUCAUUGCGCUGGUAGCUCUGUGUACAUCGCUCCUAAAAUCUUAAACAGUUGCUUUAUUUAUCCACUACAUUUUCUUUUUAAAUAUCUAUUAAUGGGACCUGUGCAAACCUAGUACUAGAACAUUAUCAUGCGAUCUGUCUGAACAACAGUUUUCCAUUAAUAAAUGCACGCACUUUGGGGUCCAGCCAAUAUAAUGAUCAACCGUACCUUAAUAAUAAUAAUGAUAAUGCACAAUCUUUCCGACCUUAUUGUUUUGUUUGCAUAUUUUGCAUAGGAGUUUGGACAAGUUACUUUACAUGAAAGAUUCAUUUUGACUGAAGGCAGUUAUUAAUCAUCAUCUAACUAAAAUAAGUAACUAUGCAAUGUCAGAGCAUAUAGAAAAAACUUCAAAUCACUCCAUCUGUAUAUGUUCAUAAGUCAAAUAUCAUGUGUCCGCAUUCAGUGAUCAUUAGUCAUUAUUUAAAGAAACAGCCGUAUUUCAAGUUUAAAAGCCUUUUUUUUAAUCACUUAAGUCUCAUCUAUUAAAAUGUUUGUUGCGUACAGUUAUGUUUGGCGUGAUGUAAUCAGUUUUGUUUUGUAUCUGGGCAUUGCAAUGUUAUAUAUGUAUAUUGUUUCCUGUUGAAAAUUAUUGCUGCUUCGAUGCAUUUUAUUUUAUUGACCCGCACAUAACAUGAAAAUCUUGCAUUUGUUUUAAUGUUGGAAAAAUACUGUUGAAAUAACUACUUGCUUGCCUGUCAACCCUUCUGCUUUUGUUCUUGCUCAAGGCUGUUUUUUUCUUCUCCACCUUCUUCCGGUGCCAUCAUCAUCAUCAUGUUUUCAUUCAUAUGGGUCUUUUUCAGCCAUUAACUUAUGAUUUAAUGCAACAAAAUAGCUUAAUAAACCGUUGCUUUUGGUUCUUCUGGAUUUCUUCUGGUUCAGGCUGGUGUUGGUCAAGUCUCAGAAGCUUGAUGUAAAGAGGAAACUAAUGCUUCCAUGAGGACUGCUUUUGAUACCCGAAGUGUGAGGAAACUGUAAAGAGCUGUAUUUUUAAAGAAUGUACAAUGUGAAAUUAUUCUCAUAUGCUUGUUUUGUACAAAGUAUUAUGGCAAAGUAAUAACUUUUUGAAUCAAAAAGCAAUACAACACAAGUAAAAUCCUG